UACGUAGGAUGCAAGCGUUGUCCGGAAUUACUGGGCGUAAAGCGUGCGCAGGCGGUUUUGUAAGUCAGAUGUGAAAUCCCCGGGCUUAACCUGGGAACUGCGUUUGAAACUACAAGGCUAGAGUGUGGCAGAGGGGGGUGGAAUUCCACGUGUAGCAGUGAAAUGCGUAGAGAUGUGGAGGAACACCGAUGGCGAAGGCAGCCCCCUGGGUUAACACUGACGCUCAGGCACGAAAGCGUGGGGAGCAAACAGG
rnacentral:rRNA from 1 species